GAACUUCCAGAGGCCCCGGCCCAAGCCUGCCGUACCGGAAGAUGAGCCCAUCGGCUGAUGAGUGCCGAGUACCUUGUGUGAUUUAUUGACUCCUGCACUGAAAGUGAAAAACAGAACAGCUGUGUGGGGACUCGAAGUACUGUUUCUCCUGCAACAUCUUACAUAGAGGCUGCUCCAUUCUUAGAUGGCCGACUUAUCUUGGGUCCUGGAGUGAAGAUGACAAGGAACA